CUCAAACUGACAGAGCUACAUCUACCUCUGCCUCCUGAGAGUUGGGAUCAAAGGCAUUCCCUACCACACCUGCCUUUAGAUUGUUUUUAGUUGUUGGAAUACAACUAUGACCAUUUGUCUAGAAGUUUUAUGUGGCAAACCAUAUGACUUCUUCUGACUCUGUUUCAUCUCCUGGGAGCUUGUUGAGCUUGGACUCUGCUCUUUCCAAUGAGGAAACUGUACGCAUGGUGAGCAAGGGUGUACAAGCUGGUAACUUGGAGAUUGUGGCUGGUGUCAAAAAAUACACUCAGGAUGUUGGGGUGACUUUCCCAACUCCCAGUUCUAGUGAGGCCAGAUUGGAAGAGGACAGUGGUGUGACUUCUUCGUCAGAAGAAAAAGCCAAAGAGAAAAAGUUUCUUUCCAAUUAUCUGCAGACCAAAAACUUAAGGAAGAACAAGCCAAAUCCCUGUGCAGGUGUCUCAUGGUUCGUUCCUGUGGAAAAUGGACAAUCAGGAUCUAAGAAGGAAAACCUGCCCAAGAUUUACAGACCUGGUAUCUCCUGGUUUGAACCAGUAACCAAAACCAAACCCUGGAGGGAGCCACUGAGGGAACAAAACUGGCAGGCCCAAUGCAUGAACAGUCGUGGGUCCCUGGGAGGCCCAGGCAGGGAUAGUGGCCAGGUUUCUCUUCGGCCAUUUGUGAGAGCAACUCUGCAGGAAUCACUUCAGCUUCACAGACCUGAUUUCAUCUCCCACUCUGGGGAGCGCAUAAAGCGUCUGAAGUUACUUGUCCAGGAGAGGAAGCUCCAGAGCCUGUUCCAGAGUGAGCGGGAGGCUCUGUUCCACUCAGCGAGGCCCCUGCCCAGGAGAGUCCUCCUGGCUGUCCAGAAGAACAAGCCUAUUGGAAAGAAGGAAAUGAUUCAGAGGACCAGACGAAUUUAUGAGCAGCUUCCAGAAGUGAAGAAGAAGAGAGAAGAGGAGAAGAGAAAAUCAGAAUAUAAAUCCUACCGGCUGCGUGCUCAGCACUAUAAAAUGAAAGUGACCAAUCAUCUCCUGGGGAGAAAAGUGCCUUGGGACUGACAUAAGACUACUUUCUUCAGAGCCUAGGAAUCCUUUUUUUUUUUUUUUAAUGAUCCCAAAGAGACUAAUUUAUAUUUGUGUGAAUAUGAUUUAAUAAAGCGUUGUCUUUGUC